AGUACACAUCCGCCGCCCUGCAUAGAGGGUGGAGCCUAAGGACGCAUGUGCGAGAAGCUCAACAGUUUCUCUCGUUAAUCUGCUUUUGCCCUCUUUUUUCCUGAGUGGUCUGAGGAACUCAUUCAUUCACUUCUACGAGAUGAGACUGCCGUGGCCCCUAACCCGCAUUUUAUUGUGACCAUGGUUAUUCCGAAACCUUGCAGGGGAUCAAAUUACUUGGUGGUGCUCAGAGAAUUCUUACUAAACCUUGAAGUCAUUCUAACCGAGAGGGCCAACAACAAUGUCAGAAGUUACUGCUGCUGAGCCUUGCCUUCCAAAAGUUUCUUUUUUCUGCAAAACCCACAUGUACACGUUCCACUUCAGUGGUCGACAAAUGCUGAUUGAGGUGAAGAAACCUGUACCCGCACAACAAGUCUUCCUUUGCUGCAGCCUCUCAAACAAUCCUGGCCCCCCAACUUUAAUGGCAUUCAAACAGUAUGUGCUACGCUGCUUAAAAUGGAAUGGAAAUCAUAUAUUCUUGCCAUUACUAGAAGAGAUUAGUGUUGAAGAUGAAAGGACUGUCUCAGAAGAGCAAGUAUGACAUCUGUUUGCUGCUUUACCCUGGAGUACCCCUGCAUGUGAUGAUGCAUCUCAACUGUGGAUCUUACCUCCAGAUUCCAGAACAGCUAUUCACGGUAAAACCAACUCUCUAUUCUCUGUAAAAUGAAUAGAA
rnacentral:lncRNA from 1 species